UUUCAGUCUAAGAAUGACAGCAACUUUCUGCUGUUACUAAUCCCUGGGUUGCUUCACUGGUUUUGCUUCUUAGCUCUCCAGUUACGUGUUACAAAUUCCCUAAUUAAUUUCCUCUGCUUAAAAUACCUAGAGAGGAGAGGUUUCUGCUUCCUGGCUGGGUCUUGAUUGAUUCACUGAUCACAGGUAUGGAGUAAGACUUGGACAGUCAGAGCAUAGGUUGUCAACUGUUCCAGAUAUUAACCAAGGUCAAGUGAAGCACUCUCCUCUCCAAGAAAUUUCAGCAUGGAGAGAAAGAAAGUUUUACCACCAAUUUGUGCCUGAAACACAAGAUGAACAGACGUCUUCUGCAUUAAAAAAGGACAUAGGCAUGCAUUAAAUCCCUUAUGUCUUACUUUUUAAUGAUGCAAUUGUGAAUUAUGUUCUUGUUGCAUUUGUAAUUAGAGGCUGCAGCAGAUGGUGAAGACUUAUUUUAAAGUGAUGUGUCUAUUAAAAUAAGCCAC
rnacentral:lncRNA from 1 species